rnacentral:rRNA from 1 species
GGGUAGUUUGACUGGGGCGGUCUCCUCCUAAAGAGUAACGGAGGAGCACGAAGGUUGGCUAAUCCUGGUCGGACAUCAGGAGGUUAGUGCAAUGGCAUAAGCCAGCUUGACUGCGAGCGUGACGGCGCGAGCAGGUGCGAAAGCAGGUCAUAGUGAUCCGGUGGUUCUGAAUGGAAGGGCCAUCGCUCAACGGAUAAAAGGUACUCCGGGGAUAACAGGCUGAUACCGCCCAAGAGUUCAUAUCGACGGCGGUGUUUGGCACCUCGAUGUCGGCUCAUCACAUCCUGGGGCUGAAGUAGGUCCCAAGGGUAUGGCUGUUCGCCAUUUAAAGUGGUACGCGAGCUGGGUUUAGAACGUCGUGAGACAGUUCGGUCCCUAUCUGCCGUGGGCGCUGGAGAACUGAGGGGGGCUGCUCCUAGUACGAGAGGACCGGAGUGGACGCAUCACUGGUGUUCGGGUUGUCAUGCCAAUGGCACUGCCCGGUAGCUAAAUGCGGAAGAGAUAAGUGCUGAAAGCAUCUAAGCACGAAACUUGCCCCGAGAUGAGUUCUCCCUGACCCUUUAAGGGUCCUGAAGGAACGUUGAAGACGACGACGUUGAUAGGCCGGGUGUGUAAGCGCAGCGAUGCGUUGAGCUAACCGGUACUAAUGAACCGUGAGGCUUAACCUU